rnacentral:rRNA from 1 species
GAUGAACGCUGGCGGCGUGCCUAAUACAUGCAAGUCGAGCGAACGGACGAGAAGCUUGCUUCUCUGAUGUUAGCGGCGGACGGGUGAGUAACACGUGGAUAACCUACCUAUAAGACUGGGAUAACUUCGGGAAACCGGAGCUAAUACCGGAUAAUAUUUUGAACCGCAUGGUUCAAAAGUGAAAGACGGUCUUGCUGUCACUUAUAGAUGGAUCCGCGCUGCAUUAGCUAGUUGGUAAGGUAACGGCUUACCAAGGCAACGAUGCAUAGCCGACCUGAGAGGGUGAUCGGCCACACUGGAACUGAGACACGGUCCAGACUCUUACGGGAGGCAGCAGUAGGGAAUCUUCCGCAAAGGGCGAAAGCCUGACGGAGCAACGCCGCGUGAGUGAUGAAGGUCUUCGGAUCGUAAAACUCUGUUAUUAGGGAAGAACAUAUGUGUAAGUAACUGUGCACAUCUUGACGGUACCUAAUCAGAAAGCCACGGCUAACUACGUG